UCAUCCACAUCUUUUAGCUCGAGGAGGUUAUAAAAGGUUAGAGAAGAUGAUGAUGGAAGAGAAGUUGAAAGAAAAACAAGCAUGUGCUGAUGCAGAUCCGUCGUAUACAAUGACUCCUCCAAGUCCUCCACGUAGAGCCGAAAAGUGGAAGAAAGCAAGAAUUGACAAGCUAGGAAAUUUUCGCACUGAAUCAACUAGAUUGGUGGCGGAAAAAAUUGAUGCUCUUGAGUUGCAAAUUUCUCAAGAAAAAUUUGUUGAGGAUGGAAGAAAAGAUUCAUUGACUGUUGCAUUGGGUACUGAUGAGCAUUCUAGACAUGUUAGAGCCAUGGGAAGAAGACAUGGCAUCAAAAGUGUAUUUGGCCAUGCAAAACGUCGCCAAAAAACCUCCUGAAGAUGUUCAACGAUUGAUUGAUGCAUUUGUUGAUGCAUGUGUUGAUGCUGCUAUUGCACAAGCGUCAGAAAAACAAAAUCAGAAAAAUAUUUCUCAGCAGGAGGAAUUGAGUGAACGAUUAACUCAGCAUUUUGAGGCACGAAUGGCUAAGAUGAUGCUGCAAUUUAGUUCUCUGCAGACUCCUGCUCACCAAUAUGUACAAUCAAAGCAGGGGAAUGACGUAUGUGUGGAUGCUGAGCCACAAUCUCGAAGUGAAAAAGCUAGUUCCCCGGACCCUUUUACUAAUUUACCGGUUGGGCACGAUGUCAAUUGUUCUUAGAAGAUCCAAUUGGCUGUCCAGUGGCAUAUGGGAUAGCUUACAGUUGUGGACAGGUUCAUGGGGUUGUACUGAAUGUAAAUCAUGUGAAGGUGAGCGUAAAUGAAGUUAGUGAUCCAAGUGCACAUGUAUCAAUCCCCACCAGUGAGGUUCAGCUUGUAGGUGAUGCAAUUCAACACUUUAUUAUUUGGCCAAAGAAGCUGGUAGAGUUAUGUACUGAAGUUGAUGCGUUAAAAGAAAAGACCAAAUUGACUUUUCAAUCGGGUGUGCAAUCCGUACAUCAAGAAUUCACUGUAGCUGAUCCAGAUUCUUUGACUGUUGUAUGCAAAAAGGCCUUUACAAUAGCUAGCCGUCUUGAACACAAUCUUGUUAUCCAUGUGGCUCGUGGUAU